AUUGAACGCUGGCGGCAUGCCUUACACAUGCAAGUCGAACGGCAGCACGGGAGCGAUCCUGGUGGCGAGUGGCGAACGGGUGAGUAAUGUAUCGGAACGUGCCCAGUCGUGGGGGAUAACGUAGCGAAAGCUACGCUAAUACCGCAUACGAUCUGUGGAUGAAAGCGGGGGACCGUAAGGCCUCGCGCGAUUGGAGCGGCCGAUAUCAGAUUAGGUAGUUGGUGGGGUAAAGGCCUACCAAGCCGACGAUCUGUAGCUGGUCUGAGAGGACGACCAGCCACACUGGGACUGAGACACGGCCCAGACUCCUACGGGAGGCAGCAGUGGGGAAUUUUGGACAAUGGGCGCAAGCCUGAUCCAGCAAUGCCGCGUGCAGGAUGAAGGCCUUCGGGUUGUAAACUGCUUUUGUACGGAGCGAAAAGGCUCUCUCUAAUACAGGGGGCUCAUGACGGUACCGUAAGAAUAAGCACCGGCUAACUACGUGCCAGCCGCCGCUGUAACAC
rnacentral:rRNA from 1 species